AACCCAUGCUGAGGAUAUUUCUGCAUGAGCUCCUUGAACCUAUCUCAUGGCUCAAAAUGAGACUCUAAUUCCGUUUGCACAAAAGAGGAUAUUUCAUUCCUGAGCUU